rnacentral:rRNA from 1 species
AUUGAACGCUGGCGGCAUGCCUUACACAUGCAAGUCGAACGGCAGCACGGAGCUUGCUCUGGUGGCGAGUGGCGAACGGGUGAGUAAUAUAUCGGAACGUACCCUAGAGUGGGGGAUAACGUAGCGAAAGUUACGCUAAUACCGCAUACGAUCUAAGGAUGAAAGUGGGGGAUCGCAAGACCUCAUGCUCGUGGAGCGGCCGAUAUCUGAUUAGCUAGUUGGUAGGGUAAAAGCCUACCAAGGCAUCGAUCAGUAGCUGGUCUGAGAGGACGACCAGCCACACUGGAACUGAGACACGGUCCAGACUCCUACGGGAGGCAGCAGUGGGGAAUUUUGGACAAUGGGCGAAAGCCUGAUCCAGCAAUGCCGCGUGAGUGAAGAAGGCCUUCGGGUUGUAAAGCUCUUUUGUCAGGGAAGAAACGGUGGGAGCUAAUAUCUCUUGCUAAUGACGGUACCUGAAGAAUAAGCACCGGCUAACUACGUGCCAGCAGCCGCGGUAAUACGUAGGGUGCAAGCGUUAAUCGGAAUUACUGGGCGUAAAGCGUGCGCAGGCGGUUUUGUAAGUCUGAUGUGAAAUCCCCGGGCUCAACCUGGGAAUUGCAUUGGAGACUGCAAGGCUAGAAUCUGGCAGAGGGGGGUAGAAUUCCACGUGUAGCAGUGAAAUGCGUAGAUAUGUGGAGGAACACCGAUGGCGAAGGCAGCCCCCUGGGUCAAGAUUGACGCUCAUGCACGAAAGCGUGGGGAGCAAACAGGAUUAGAUACCCUGGUAGUCCACGCCCUAAACGAUGUCUACUAGUUGUCGGGUCUUAAUUGACUUGGUAACGCAGCUAACGCGUGAAGUAGACCGCCUGGGGAGUACGGUCGCAAGAUUAAAACUCAAAGGAAUUGACGGGGACCCGCACAAGCGGUGGAUGAUGUGGAUUAAUUCGAUGCAACGCGAAAAACCUUACCUACCCUUGACAUGGCUGGAAUCCUUGAGAGAUCAGGGAGUGCUCGAAAGAGAACCAGUACACAGGUGCUGCAUGGCUGUCGUCAGCUCGUGUCGUGAGAUGUUGGGUUAAGUCCCGCAACGAGCGCAACCCUUGUCAUUAGUUGCUACGAAAGGGCACUCUAAUGAGACUGCCGGUGACAAACCGGAGGAAGGUGGGGAUGACGUCAAGUCCUCAUGGCCCUUAUGGGUAGGGCUUCACACGUCAUACAAUGGUACAUACAGAGUGCCGCCAACCCGCGAGGGGGAGCUAAUCGCAGAAAGUGUAUCGUAGUCCGGAUUGUAGUCUGCAACUCGACUGCAUGAAGUUGGAAUCGCUAGUAAUCGCGGAUCAGCAUGUCGCGGUGAAUACGUUCCCGGGUCU